UAUCAUCAUGAAUACAGCUGGUUUGUGUCGUUUAGUGUUGACUCAGAAAAUCAACUCCUUGUAAUAGGUCUUCCUUCAGCUGAGUUCUAACUCAAAACACAUUCGCAUAUUUUCUUUAUUCAGAUCAGUCGGACGAAUAGCUAUUUUCAAGAGGAGAUUUAUGGCUGAGGCACUUUUACCAUUUGCAGUCGAGAGGCUUUGGAACCUCCUUGUCCGAGAAACUGAGCGCUUUCAAGGAGUUGGAGAGCAGUUCCAUGGAUUGAAAAGAGAUGUGAGAAGGUUAAGGUGUUUUCUGGAAGAUGCAGAUGCCAAAAAACAUACAAGUGCAACGGUGAGAGACGCUAUCAUGGAGAUCAAAGAAAUUGUUUUAGAUGCAGAAGAUAUCAUCGACACCUUUCUUCUAAAGGAAGGACUCGGAAAUAAAAGUGGCAUCAGGAAUACUGUGAGAAGAUUUUCUUGCGUUAGUUUGGAACGCAGGCGACUUGCUUUGGAUAUUGAAACUCUAAGUAGGAGGAUCACUAAGGAGAUACAAAAUAUGCAGAGUUUUGGCGUACAAGAGGGCACUGUCAGUGAAAGUCGUAAACCUCCACAGGACGAACAAAGACGAACAUUUUCUACCGUUGACGAAAAAGACCCACUUGUUGGGAUGGAGAAAAAUAUUGAGACAUUGGUUGGCUAUUUGGUGGAGGAGGAUAGCAGUCGAGUGGUUUCUAUUACCGGGAUGGGUGGUAUUGGCAAAACCACACUCGCAAGACAAGUUUUCAACCAUGAGACAAUAAAAAGUCAUUUUCAAGGAGGAUUGGCGUGGGUAUGUGUUUCACAACAGUUUACAAGGGAGUAUGUCUCACGGGAGAUCUUGCAACAACUCAGUCCAGAAAUCGAGGUGUUCAAGAUGACAGACAAUGUACUUCAAUCAAAUCUCGUUCGAGCGUUGGAAACACAAAAGUCUUUGAUAGUCAUUGAUGAUAUAUGGAGCGAAGGAGAUUGGGACCGAAUCAAGCAUGUAUCUCUGCCGAAAAAAGGAUGGAAGGUACUACUUACUUCUCGCAAAGAAGGAGUGGGAUUACAUGCUGAUAGACAUUGUGUCACAUUUAAACCAGAAUGCCUAAAUUUUGAAGACAGUUGGGAUCUUUUUCAAAUGAUAGCAUUUCCUAUGGAAGACACAGCUGAGUUCAAGGUUGAUGAAAAAAUGGAAGAGGUGGGAAUGCAGAUGAUCAAAUGUUGUGGAGGUCUACCCUUGGCAGUAAAAGUGUUAGGAGGGUUGCUGGCUGUGGAAGACAGAUUGCAUGAGUGGGAAAGGAUAUAUGAGAAUAUUAAAACUCACAUUGUUAGAGGCGCUGGCUCCGACGACAGAAAUAGCAAAUCGGUUUAUGAUGUUCUGUAUCUGAGCUACGAAGAGCUGCCUGCUUAUUUGAAGCAUUGCUUCCUUUACCUUGCUCAUUUUCCUGAAGAUUAUCAAAUAUCUGUAAAGGACUUGUCCUAUUACUGGGCUGCAGAAGGAAUGCCAAGGCCGAGGUAUUGCAAGGAAGCAAGCAUCCGAGAUGUGGGAGAUGGAUACGUAGCAGAAUUGGUGAAGAGAAACAUGGUUAUUUCUGAGAGAGACGUCGAUACUUCAAGAUUUGAAAAAUGUCAGUUGCAUGACAUGAUGAGAGAAGUUUGUCUGCAUAAAGCUGAAGAAGAUAAUUUUGUACAAAUUAUUCAAGGCACAUCAACUGCAAACCAUGAAUCUCCUGGUAAAUUUCGCAGACUCGCUGUACAUCUGCCUGAUGAAUCAUUUAAUGUGGAGACAUCAGAGGUGACGAAUGCAAGCCUUAGAACUCUCUUGAUUAUCAAUGGUGAAGAAUGGAAGGCAACAAGUUUGUUCUUUAAAAGGCAUAAGCUGAUGAGAGUGUUAGAUCUCUCUGAGGUCGAGUUUGAAGGAGGGAAGUUACCAUCUAGCAUCGGGAAGCUCAUCCACUUGAGAUAUUUGAGUUUAUAUGAGGCACGUGUAACUCACCUACCUUCUUCUAUGCGGAAUCUGAAGCAGCUGCUCUAUUUAAACCUAUAUGAAUAUGGGGUUGUUGGAGUCUACAUUCCCAAUAUCUUUAAAGAGAUGCAAGAAUUGAUAUACUUGUGUUUGCCAGUUAGAUUACAUGAUAAGGUAAAGUUGGAAUUGGGAAAUCUAGUCAAGCUGGAGACGUUGAAGAAUUUCUCAACGGAGCAUGGGAGUGUGAGUGAUCUCCAAGGUAUGACAAAGCUCAGGACCCUUUCCAUGUAUAUCGAAGGUCAAGGAUGUUCCAUGAAAACCCUAUCUUCAUCUCUAAGUAAAAUUACACACCUGGAGAAUCUUAUCAUAAAUAACAGUCAAAUGCAUGCCCCUACGAAUGACGGAGAAGUAGGAUUUGUUUGGGAUUUUGUUCAUCUCAGAGAGCUGAAGUUGGAGAUAUAUAUGCCAAGGUUACCUGAUCCCCAACACUUUCCUUCUCACCUUACGAAGAUACACCUAGCGCAGUGUCGUUUGGAGAAAGAUCCGAUGCCGAUUCUAGAGAAGCUGGAGCAGUUAAAAGAGGUUAACUUAGAUGAUGAAUCUUUCAAUGGGAGAAGAAUGGUUUGCUCAAGGGGUGGGUUUCCUCAAUUGCUAAAGCUAUAUUUUUAUGGAUUAAAAGAGUGGGAAGAGUGGAUAGUAGAAGAAGGCUCCAUGCCCCUUCUCCAUUCUCUCGAGAUUAGUAAUUGUGGAAAACUAAAAGAGAUUCCUCAUGGACUGCGAUUCAUCACUUCCUUGGAGAAUCUCAGUGUUAGCUUAAGGGGAGAGCAGUGCAAGAUGAUAUUGUCCGAACAAUACUUGCAUUCUCGCCUUACAUGCAUAACUCUAAAUGAUUGUCGUUUUGAGGAGGAUCCUAUGCCUAUUUUAGAGAAAUUGCUUUACCUGAAACGGAUUGAUUUAAGCAACAUAUCUUUCGGUGGGAAUAGAAUGGUUUGCUCGAGGGGUGGGUUUCCUCAAUUGGAAGCGAUCUGGUUUUAUGAAUUAAAAGAGUUUGAAGAGUGGAUAGUAGAAGAAGGCUCCAUGCCCCUUCUCCGUACUCUCGUUAUUAGUAACUGUGGAAAACUAAAAGAGAUUCCUCAUGGACUGCGAUUCAUCACUUCCUUGGAGAAUCUCACUGUUAGGUUAAGGGGAGAGGAAUGCAAGAUGAUAUUGUCCGAACAAUACUUGCAUUCUCGCCUUACAUGCAUAUAUCUAACUGAUUGUCGUUUUGAGGAGGAUCCUAUGCCUAUUUUAGAGAAAUUGCUUUACCUGCAAUUGAUUCAUUUAGAGGACAUAUCUUUCGGUGGGAAUAGAAUGAUUUACUCGAGGGUUGGGUUUCCUCGAUUGGAACAGCUAUCUUUUAAUGUAUUAAAAGAGUGGGAAGAGUGGAUAGUAGAAGAAGGCUCCAUGCCCCUUCUCCGUUCUCUCGAUAUUAGAGAUUGCAAGAAAUUAAAGGAGCUUCCUGAGGGGCUGCGAUUCAUCACUUCCUUGGAGAAUCUGGCCUGUUAUGGUAUGGGAGAGGAGUGGAAGAAGAGAUUGUCGGAAGGAGGAGAAGAUUAUUACAAAGUCCAACACAUCCCUUAUGUUCUAUUCUAAUAGUAAUUUAUUAUUUUCGGCAAAACUGGAGUCAAGUCAGCAGCUGAAGGAGACUCUCAGAAAUUACGGACUAUCAGGAGUGCAGUAUCAAAUAAAUUUCUGACGAUGAAGGAAAGUGAUAAAAGACCAAAUGGAUCUACUGAUUCAAAAGGACUAGCCGACUAGGCCUUGUAUUUCAGAUAUUCUUGCAGAUCGUGGCUACUACUCAGUUGAAACAGUCUCCCUAUUGGUGGCACUGAAGGUGCGUUACAGAGACAGACUCACGAUCCUGCGUGGGAAUCAUGAGAGUCGUCAAAUUACACAAGUGUUUUCUGUUUACAUGGAGGGCUUUCACCUUCUCUGGAUACCCUUGACAAUAUCCGGAGCUUGGAUCGCAUACAGGAGGU